GUUUCUUUUUCCCCUCUCCCCUCCUCUCAUCCACCUCUGGUUAUCCAGACCCUGAGGGAUGUAUGCUAUGGAAGGUGGGCUAGCUACCUCACAGACCAGACCUGACCAUGAGGGAUGUAUGGUAUGGAAGGUGGGCUAGCUACCUCACAGACCAGACCCUGAGGGAUGAAUGCUAUGGAAGGUGGGCUAGCUACCUCACAGACCAGACCUGACCCUGAGGGAUGUAUGGUAUGGAAGGUGGGCUAGCCACCUCAGACCAGACCAGACCCUGAGGGAUGUAUGGUAUGGAAG
rnacentral:lncRNA from 1 species